rnacentral:rRNA from 1 species
AUCCUCCAAGGCUAAAUACUCCUGACUGACCGAUAGUGAACCAGUACCGUGAGGGAAAGGCGAAAAGAACCCCGGCGAGGGGAGUGAAAAAGAACCUGAAACCGUGUACGUACAAGCAGUGGGAGCCCCACCACUAAGCCAGUGGUGAACUCCACAUACGCAUCCUUUGCUGAGGAUACGGUUAACGGAGCGAAAGCGACGUUCAACCUCAAAAGAAGCAGAGGGGGCUUAGUGGUGGGGUGACUGCGUACCUUUUGUAUAAUGGGUCAGCGACUUAUAUUCUGUAGCAAGGUUAACCGUAUAGGGGAGCCGGAGGGAAACCGAGUCUUAAUUGGGCGUUAAGUUGCAGGGUAUAGACCCGAAACC